rnacentral:lncRNA from 1 species
CGGUAUUCGUGCUCUCAUUUAUAAGACCCCACCAGACGUGAAAAGUUUGUGCAGCAACUCAUCCCACUAUGUGGCUCGAAGGUGUGGUCAAGGGCAGCAGGAAGCCCCUGACAGACGGAUGGACAUACCGAACGGCCAGGGCCUCCUGGCGCGGUCGCGCAGAUAGUAAGACAAGUCAUUCACGCUGCGCGACCUCUCGGGGACCGCGCGAGGGCGGGUGGAUGUGGGCUUAGGUAAUGUCCACCAGGAACCGUCUACUGUCACAAAGGAGAACAAUCCUUAUUCUUGUGCGUGGUCUUUUGAGGACAAGCCUAGGGGUCUCUAUGAAUCUGAACUUUACAGUGACUUUCCUGUCCCACUGUCAAAACCCAGGAGUCUCCUGCCGGCACCGGGCAGCACAUUUCUCUAAGCUUCCCCUUCAGCAGGCGCAGCGUGUGCAGCACUACACCCCCCUCUUGGACACACUUGGAGUGACUCUCGCUGACAACACUGUGUCAAUCCCCUAUCCUUCCACGAGAAUUUCAGCAUGCAAUAAUGCAGCCCUUGAAGCAAGACUACCUGGGUAGGAGGUGGCAUCCUGGAUAAAUUACUCAUCUCCAGAAGCGUCGAUAUUCCCGUGCGGUACACGGGGAUAUUAGUAUCUGCUUAUUGGGAUUGCUGUGAGGACCAGAGAUAAAAUGUCGGCAAAGCACAGAUACACAGGGAAGACCCCGCAAUUGUAAGGUCCAGUGAUUGUUGAUUCUUCAAGGUCUAGCUCUUCUUUUUUACUGUUAUUAACGAGGGCUGCUGAUGGGGUCAUUAUGAUGAUGCUUUUCCCAUCUGUGCUAGAGCUCCUUCCCUAGCCUCCUCUAGCAACACGGCCAGCCUGUGUCACACUCUUUCCCUUGGCUCUCAUAAGAUCUUGAACAGACGUCUCUUGUCACAGUUUAUUUAUUUAUUUAUUUUCUUAUGACCUGUCUCAUCACUGGGAGGAUUUGCAGUACUUUUAAGGAACAAAAACAACAGAAAGUAAGCAAAAUCUGGGUGACAGGAGUUGAAUCUGGGUGGAUCAACAGAUAGAACUGAUCAUAUAGGACCCUAUUUGGUCGCUAGCGUUAUGUUACGAAUUAGCUUUGAGCUUUCAAACCACUAAUUCAAUGGGACAGAGAAACUGGUUAUUUUCUUCAGAGUAUUUAAGUGAAACUCAAGACAUUCAGAGGACAUAGUAUUCCUGUUACUGAGUCUUAUAAGUAUUUU